rnacentral:rRNA from 1 species
AUGAACGCUGGCGGCAGGCUUAAUACAUGCAAGUCGAACGGUAACAUGUCGGAGCAAUCUGAUGAUGACGAGUGGCGCACGGGUGCGUAACGCGUAUGCAACCUACCCAUAACCGGAACAAAACGUUGAGAAAUUGGCGCUAAUAUUCCAUGUGUAUUUUCUAUGGCAUCAUAAAAAAUAUAAAGAACUUUGGUUAUAGAUGGGCAUGCGUAUCAUUAGCUAGUUGGGGAGGUAACGGCUCACCAAGGCGACGAUGAUUAGGGGUUCUGAGAGGAAAAACCCCCACACUGGAACUGAGACACGGUCCAGACUCCUACGGGAGGCAGCAGUAGGGAAUAUUGGGCAAUGGAAGGAAUUCUGACCCAGCCAUGCCGCGUGCAGGAAUACAGUCCUAUGGACUUUAAACUGCUUUUAUUAUAGAGUAACCUGGGGGACGCGUCCCCCACUGCAAGUAUAUAAUGAAUAAGCAUCGGCUAACUCCGUGCCAGCAGCCGCGGUAAUACGGGGGAUGCAAGCGUUAUCCGGAUUUAUUGGGUUUAAAGGGUGCGCAGGCUGAUCGGUAAGUCAUGGGUGAAAAGUCACUGCUUAACAGUGAUCGUGCCUAUGAUACUGCCGGACUAGAGUUUAAGAGGUGUAACUGGAAUGUGAUGUGUAGCGGUGAAAUGCUUAGAUAUGUCACAGAACGCCAAUCGUGAAGACAGGUUACAAACUUAAUACUGACGCUCAUGCACGAAAGCGUGGGGAUCAAACAGGAUUAGAUACCCUGGUAGUCCACGCUGUAAACGAUGAUCACUCGUUGUUGGGUAGUAAUACUCAGUGGCUAAGCGAAAGCGAUAAGUGAUCCACCUGGGGGAGUACGAUCGCAAGGUUG